CAGGGCUCUCUGUCUCGUCCCGAGAAGGCUUCACACAGUCACUGGCCACCUGUUUUGGCAGCAGAGGGAGUCCAUAUGUUGUGAAGACUUGGUGCAGAUGAAGGAAAAAUGGUUUCACAGGAGCUGUUUGUCAAGAAAGUGUGCAGUUAAUGUUACACAAGUCUUCAAGACCAUCAUGUGAUACCCCUGUCUAUCUGCCUGAAGAACACUGAAGAGCAGCAUCAGUGCAGAAACGGCUGUGUGCACCAACAAGGUGAGCAGUACCUAGAAUCUGCUGUGGUUUUCUGAGUGAUGCAGCUCUUCCUCAUACUGAAUUUGGACCUCAGUCAACCACAGCCAUCUCUGACUCGGCAGGCAGCUCCUGAACCAGACUCCAGACGCAUCUGCACAAAGGACUACAUUAAUGUUAGUGCAUGUGUUCUCAUGCACUACACAACAUCAAAUUUAUUUAGUAUGGCACCAAAUCGUAACAAAAGUCAUCUCAGGACACUUUACAAGAUAAGGUCUAAUGAUGUUGUAAUAAUAGAGGAAAAUCCCAACAAAUCCCCCUUGAGCAAGCACUUGGCGACAGUGGGGAGGAAAAACUCCCUUUA